rnacentral:rRNA from 1 species
GACGAACGCUGGCGGCGUGCUUAACACAUGCAAGUCGAACGGAAAGGCCCUGCUUUUGUGGGGUGCUCGAGUGGCGAACGGGUGAGUAACACGUGAGUAACCUGCCCUUGACUUUGGGAUAACUUCAGGAAACUGGGGCUAAUACCGGAUAGGAGCUCCUGCUGCAUGGUGGGGGUUGGACAGUUUCGGCGGUUGGGGAUGGACUCGCGGCUUAUCAGCUUGUUGGUGGGGUAGUGGCUUACCAAGGCUUUGACGGGUAGCCGGCCUGAGAGGGUGACCGGCCACAUUGGGACUGAGAUACGGCCCAGACUCCUACGGGAGGCAGCAGUGGGGAAUAUUGCACAAUGGGCGGAAGCCUGAUGCAGCAACGCCGCGUGCGGGAUGACGGCCUUCAGGUUGUAAACCGCUUUCGCCUGUGACGAAGCGUGAGUGACGGUAAUGGGUAAAGAAGCACCGGCUAACUACGUG